AACGCACGAGACCUGCGGACCUGCUGAGGGAUCAUUGCAGAAAACACAAAGCCCAAGGGCUGGGACUGGGGGUGUUAUAUGCUCUCUUUUCCUUUCCUUGGGCAAAAACACAAACAACAUACAUGACUAGGAAAUUGGGUUGGGUCUAGAUUGACUUGUCGAGGUUCGAGGUCGAGGUUGAGGGGGGUAUCUAGCAAAAGUAUUUACCUGAUAAGCAGUAGCCUAUGAUUUGGGUUUGGA
rnacentral:misc_RNA from 1 species